rnacentral:rRNA from 1 species
GCGGUGAAGGAUGAGCUCGCGGCCUAUCAGCUUGUUGGUGGGGUAACGGCCCACCAAGGCAACGACGGGUAGCCGGCCUGAGAGGGUGACCGGCCACACUGGGACUGAGACACGGCCCAG